rnacentral:lncRNA from 1 species
UGACCUAAUAAAUCUAAGACAUUUAGUUGCUGAUUAUUCAAAACCUCUGAAGCAUAUAAGCAAACUCACAAGUCUUCAACUUCUUAGUGGCCUUUCUUGUGAUCAAUGGAGAGAUGUCAACCCUGUUGAUUUAGUCAAUCUUGGAGAAUUACGCAUGUUUGAUAUUGCCAAAACUUACUCCCUGAAUAACAUUGGCAACUUGAAACACCUUCACACUCUCUUCUUGGGUUGUAAAUAUAAAUCAUUCCCGCCCCUAGAAUUUCUUAAUUCUUGUCAAAUGCUCCACAAAUUGUGGUUAAAAGGGAGAAUAGAGAACCUGCCUCUGCCGGACACAUUUCCACAUUCCAUCACAAUGAUGAUCCUUUGGGACUCAAAACUCAUAGAAGAUCCGAUGCCUAUGUUGGGAAUGCUGCCAAACCUAAGGUAUCUCGAUUUAGUUGCAGCUUACGAAGGAAAGGAAAUUAGUUGCAGUGAUAACAACUUCGGUCAACUGGAGUUCCUUCAUCUUGAUAGUCUUUGGAACCUAGAAAGAUGGCAUUCAGCCACAAGUGCCAUGCCUCUGAUUAAAGGUCUUGGUAUCCAUUACUGUCCACAGUUGAAUGAGAUUCCAAAGAAGAUGAAUGGCGUGGAGAAGUUGAAGAGAUGUGGUUUUUUAUUAUCGUAGAGGUAAUAAAUCUCAAUCCCCAAUUACCAUUUCUUCAAAACGAAUAAUGAUAUUUGAAAACUAGACUAUUAGAGUUGUAUUAAUAAUCGUAUUUGGGCAUAAGUACAAGUUGGUGGUGUUGUUUUUUUUUGAGUAAUUUGGAGUGAAAAUAAUUUUUUUUGAUGUUUCUAGAAUUUUUAAAAAAUUCGAAAUUCAACUCGAGUUCAAUUUCGGAAUUUUAUAGCCAAAUAUGUUUUCCACAGUUCAUAUUCAAAAUUAAGUAAUAGAAAAAUAAUCCUCGACAAACACCUCCUAAUUCCUUUUACUCACUCUAUCACAGAUUUAUUUAAUUUUAUACCAUAACAAUUUAUUUUAUUUACAUUGUCAACUUAUUAAAAAAUUCAAUUACAAAUGAUUUUCUAUAAGUAAAUUAAUUAUGGCUGAUAUUUUGUCCUGUAUGACAUAAAUGAUUUAUUUUGAGUAAAUUAAUUAUGGCUGAUAUUUUGUCCUGUAUGACAUAAAUGAUUUAUUUUGAGUAAAUUAAUUAUGGCUGAUAUUUUGUCCUGUAUGACAUAAAUGAUUUAUUUUGAUUUACAUGGAAAUAGUUUCGUAAAAAAAUAUGUUAUCGAUGUUUAAACGGUGAGUGAAAAAUACUCUUGAAAACAUAUACAUUACAAAUUAAUAAUGAAAUUACCAUACUGGAGAGUUUCUUGAUGAAAUUUUGAGUAGAGAUAAUACAUAAAUACAACCCUAAACUUGACAUCAAAUUAUAACUUCGACCUUAAACUUUGAUAGUGCACAAUAAGACCUUUAACUAUUCAAAAUCUGAACAAAUAUGACCUCCGAUUGUGUAACCCCCAUGCGUGAGUUUCACUCGCGCUUAUGUGGAAAGGUAAUUCAAUCACAUGGUGCCACGUCGUUAAAAGGGCUGACUUGGAUGGAGGUCAUAUUUGUGCAGUUUUGAAUAGUUAAAGGUCAUAUUUGUGCAUUGUCAAAGUUUUAUUUUUUGUGUUAAAGCGUUGUCGUUUUUAUUAUUAUUAUUAUUAUUAUUAUUAUUUAUUUAUUUAUUUAUUUAUUUAUUUGGGGAUCGAACCCGCGCGGUAGGCUGAAGGAAGCACCCAAGAAGAGCAAAUAACACCAUUGGACUAUCUAAGUGCCUUGUUUCAUGUGGUUCAACAUUAAUAUACGUACAUAAAUAUAAAUUUUCUACCUUAUAUAUACAACGUAAUUUUUUUUACCGAGGGGGUUCGGGUAAACCCAUUGGCAACCACGUAGGUUCGUUCCUGCGUUAAUUUAAUAACGUUUUAAUAACGUUAAUUUAAUAACAUUUUAAUAACGUUAGUUUAAUAUACUACUACUACUAUCCUUAAUAACGUUAAUUUAAUAACGCUUUAUUAAAACUAUAGUUUUUUUUAUUAUUAGUAUAGUUUCAUCUUUAAUUUAAUAGUUAAAUAAAUUAUAUUUAGAUAUAUUAUAUAACUUAAAUUCACCCUCUCCUUUAUAAUAUAUAUACAUACCUGCGUGAUUUUUUCAUAUGAGGCUGACCCACCUAAUUAAUAAAUCUUCAAUAUUGCUCUUUUUCCGCAAUGACAAAAGAAAUUAGAUGUCAUUUUAAACUUUGAGCCGAAAAUAAUGAAAAAAUAAUAGUGAAAAGUCAUUUAAAGGUUAUAUUUGUGCAGUUUUGAAUAGUUAAAGAUCAUAUUUGUGCACUGUCAAAGUUUAAGGUCAAAGUUAUAAUUUGGUGUCAAGUUUAGGGUCAUAUUUAUGUAUUUUGCCCUUAGAUUUUAAGCUGGACGCUCCCAGUUUUACGUAUUGAACACGCAUUUUGCUACGUCGGAUCGGAGGUCAUAUCUGUGCAGUUUUAAAUAGUUAAAGGUCAUAUUUAUGCACUAUCAAAGUUAUAAUUUGAUGUCAAAUUUAGAAUCAUAUUUAUGUAUUAUCUCUUUUGAGUACUAUCUAUUUGUUGGAGCAUUAUCUCUUUUGAGUACUAUCUAGUAGUUGGAGCACCUAUUGUGAUGUUAAGUGAGAGUCAUUUUUCCUAGUUCGAUGAAAAAUAUUUGGGUAAGCAAAUAUUGGAAAAUGACUUCCUCAUCAUAAAUAUUUUUUCUCGAAAAUGACUUUCUUCAUAUAAAAACACAUCAAGUUUUAUUGACAAUCUAUAAUUUGGUUGACACUUGAUAUUAUGUUGAACAUCACAAUUGAUACAAGGAUGACCAAGAACACAAGAAAAUAUACAUCAAAACAGUCCACAAAUUGAGGAAACUCGAGACUAUUUUGGUGACCACUCUCGGAUUCGCUAAUUAUAAAAAAAAUAGAGAGAACAACGAGUGUUAAAACCUCAAAACAGCCAACCAACAAGUUAUAUUAGCACAAUAUAAUGAAGAACAACAGGGCUACAACAACUACAACCUACGGGUUCUACAACAAUACAAGGGAAAUUCGAAACUAGAACAAGAAACAAAGAUUGAUAGUUAGACACAGUGAAGUUGUAAUCUUAAGAACCCAAGAAUGGUAACUCUUGGACCCUUAACACCACACUCAACACGCACCUAACUCUUACAAUGACACAAGAGGGCGUCCACCUCUCAAGCACCAAGGUAUCAAGCUUUGCAACACACAAGAUAAUCCACCCUUAUGCUAUGCCCUAAUUUCCGUUUGGAGCUCUCUCUCACAAGAGGAGUGUUCUUACAAUAUCAAACAUAAAUCAAGUAAAUGAAUCCUACAUUGUUCUAUUUAUACAACAUUACAAACAAAUAGAGAAAUGACAAAAGAGUCCUUCAAUAAAUGGGCUCCAAAAACCACCCCGUAAGUGUACCAAAAGGAUGACUUUGGGCCUCCUUUACACUUGGGCUUGUGCACUCCUUUAAGUGGUCUUAAAAAAUGCUCAAAAAGUGUCCAUGAACAUGAUCAUACUUGUAUCAACAAUUAAUCAUUAAUUUAGGUAAUUAAUAGAUCUUUUAUUGAAUACUAGUUAUUAUAUUAAAUAGUACCCCUUACGAUUUGAGUUAAACAAGAGAACCAAUUGUUAAUGGAUAUAGUUGAUUUAUACAGUUUAUCGUAACUAAUUUGCAAAGAAACAUUCUAUAAAUCUCAAUUCGCUAUGGAAAGUCUCAAUUCAAAAGUUAAGUAAUUCAUACUAAAAAUGAUUUUAUUAUCAGGUUCAACUUGGCCUUUUUACCAAUACUAGAUAGGUAUGCUCGUACUUUGCACAGGCCCAACGUGUAAUUUAAACUUGAAGUUAAGGUUAGUUCUAUUCUUUUUACCAAUCAAGCACAAAGGUACCUCUCACUAGAUAUUUUUAACUUGAAGUUAAGGUCAGUUCUAUUCGUUGAUCCCUUUCAUAAGCUCGAUCUUAUAAACUUCCGUAAUAAGUUCCAACAUAUAUAUGUGUUGCAAUUGGAUAUUUAAUCUGCACAAAACUACCUGAUUCCAUAGGGAGUUUGUACCACCUCAAGUUCUUAAGAUUGAAAGGCAUCCAUGAAUUUCCUUCUUCCAUUGGCAAUCUCAAGAAUUUACAGACGCUUUGUGUCUCCAAUGACCACAGACAGUUAUGUCAACUACCUCCUAAGACAGCUGACCUAAUAAAUUUAGACAUUUAGUUGCUGAUUAUUCAAAACCUCUGAAGCAUAUAAGCAAACUCACACGUCUUCAACUUCUUAGUGGCCUUUCUUGUGAUCAAUGGAGAGAUGUCAACCCUGUUGAUUUAGUCAAUCUUGGAGAAUUACGCGUGUUUGAUAUUGCCAAAACUUACUCCCUGAAUAACAUUGGCAACUUGAAACACCUUCACACUCUCUUCUUGGGUUGUAAAUAUAAAUCAUUCCCAC